rnacentral:rRNA from 1 species
GAUGGACGCUAGCGGCAGGCUUAACACAUGCAAGUCGAGGGGUAGAGGUUGCUUGCAACCUUGAGACCGGCGCACGGGUGCGUAACGCGUAUGCAACCUACCUUUUACAGAGGGAUAGCCCAGAGAAAUUUGGAUUAAUACCUCAUAGUAUAUAACCUACGCAUGUUGGUUAUAUUAAAGUUCCAACGGUAAAAGAUGGGCAUGCGUCCUAUUAGCUAGAUGGUAAGGUAACGGCUUACCAUGGCAACGAUAGGCAGGGGUCCUGAGAGGGAGAUCCCCCACCCUGGUACUGAGACACGGACCAGACUCCUACGGGAGGCAGCAGUGAGGAAUAUUGGACAAUGGGCGCAAGCCUGAUCCAGCCAUGCCGCGUGCAGGAAGAAGCAUCUAUGGUGUGUAAACUGCUUUUGUACAGGAAGAAACACCCCGACGUGUCGGGGCUUGACGGUACUGUAAGAAUAAGGAUCGGCUAACUCCGUGCCAGCCGCCGCAGUAA